rnacentral:lncRNA from 7 species
GGUUAAAACUGCCUAAUUCUGCUGGAGUUUUCCUCAUGCAAAGCCCUUACUUACGGUGGUUCCAAGGAGCUGCUACAUAAGAGCAACAUCUGGACCAGAAGGAGUCAAGACGGCUUCUGUUUACAUGCUUACUUUCAAAAGCUUUCAAUCUUCAGUCUUCAUGACAUACAGCAAGACUGCUUCUGAAGCACGGUGGCCACCACAGUUUUCAUUAUGAAUGCUUUUCCGACUUGCUGCAGUCAGUCUACACUGCUGACUGGCAUUCAAAUACAGGCCAGGAAUAAAGAAAGGAAGUUUUGUUCCCCUGAGCUCCAAGGUUUUUGCCAUCAGCUUUAGUGGAUUCAGAAUUUCAACUACUGCUAACAGGCCCUCCGGAAAAGCAAAACAAAACAAACUCCACAACACACAAUCUCAUUGUUCUGAACUUUGAAAAGAUACGAAUUGUAUUCUACUAAAGUCUUCUUUUUUUUUUUUUUUGAGGAUAUUUAAUUGCCUUUCAUUAAAAGAAAAAAAUAAAUAAAUACAACCCAACCUGUUAU